GUCUCUGGUUUUAGUCAUGAUGGCGGGGAAAGUUUUCAGCAAUCUGUUUCGCUUUUUCUUCAUGUAUGUGGUUGUGGCUUCUAGUGGAUUAUCAAUAAUCGUGCAGGGUGUUAUUUCAGUUCUAUUUCAUGUAAUCUCCUUUAAAAACGUUUUUUCCCACUUUCUCAUUUUUGCUCGAGUUCAUCGUCUGACCAGGUCUGACCAGGGCUGACUGCCACACAAGGCUGGAAACUAAACCACUCAGUGUGGAUGAGCUAGUUGAAUUCACAUGUCCAAAAUUGAAUUGCAGAUUCUCUGUACCACAGACUACAUCUGUACAAAUACUGCACUGUAAGUAAAUUUGAAUUUCCAUCAUGUUGGUUAGCACUAGCAUAGACAACGAAGUGGUCUAUGGUCGUUUUUUCCCAAGUCCACUUCGUUGUCUAUGGCACUAGUACUAGCUGAUAAGUCAACGACAGAAGAGUUGCUUAAAAGUAAUUUUUAAUUUCUUUUUCCAAGAAUGGUUAAUGGUGUAAAGUUUUAAUUAAAACAUUUUAGCUUCUACAGAAAAACCAAUUCCGACAAUCAUGUUUUUAAAAUGAAGUGUAGCAGAUAUGACUUGGUUAACAUAGUUAUGGCUACGUCUACCCAUGGCGGGAAAAGGUGAACAGCUGACUGUUGUAUGUGUGACAGUGUGAGAUUGAAGAUUUCCUAGACAGAAUUCUGGCUACUUGUUAUUCGGUACCACCUUUUAUGUAAUUUUAGACAACAUCCAGUAAGUCAUAUCAAUUAAAAUUGUAAUCCUUAUUAUAAACACAUCUGUGAACAAAGAGUUAGCUUCAGGAUUGAGAUUCCUCAACACAUACAACAAGGACCCCAUUUCAAGUUGUAGCAUCCAGCCUUUUCUCAACUGCCAUGUAGCUUCUUUUUACAGGAUAGAACAAGGAUUCUCCAUUGCAGUUGGAGAUGUUACAUAUGGGCUGUUAGGCAGAGCACUGCUUAAGAAAGCAGUACAGUGGCAAUUUGGUAAGUAUGACUUCGGACGUUUCUGCUAGGAGUUCAAGAAUCGCGAAGCAAUUGAACAACCACAUCUGUACUGGAAUUAGUAUGAUGGGAUAUUGGUAUGUAAAUGAUAUUGCAAGUUUAUUUCUUACAGGGUGAUCAGAAUAACCAAAAAAUUGGGAACAGUGACCAAAACACGGAAAUGUGAAGUUUAUUUUCAUGGAUUCAAAGAAAGGCUAAAAAAACAAAUAACCUAUAUAUUGUUGAAAGCUUCCUUUGUGUAGUUUCAAAUGCCAACAACCUUAUUUUUGAAAAAGAAAAAAAUAAGGCAUUAAUAAGGAAUAGUAUGUUGGAAGGAAUGACUUUGGUCUUUACUCCUCUGUUGGAAUUUGCAUGCUACCAUUGUCUUCGUCCGUCACAGGACAAAAUCACUUCACAAGUAAAAUCGGAUUGUGAUGUGAUGAAAUUAGUUCUCAAUGUAGAUGAGGAUCUUGAAAAAUCUCCAUACCUUAUGUCAGCUGUAAAAGUGUUGAAGGUGUUGGUGAAUGGACAUAUUGAGUCCUAGAAUAAUGUCAAUGACAGUGUAAACUAUGAGUCAGCAAGUGUUCUUCAUAGGAGCGGACCGACUCCUACAUUAGAGGAAAUUGACACGCGUGAUUCCAAUAAUGUUUGGGAACUUCUGGCUUCAGCCACCAGGGGGAUGUCGAAUGUUUCUAGUCUCUUGGAUCACUUACAUUAGAUAUCAGAUUAAAUCGGCCCUGUUCUUCUAUUCCCAUUGUUUUGUUCAUCUGUUAAUAUUAGUUUAAAAAAACGAGAAAUAGAUUUUACUAUAAAGAUAGCCGUUUAUCGCCACACAGGCACAAAAAUUCAAACAAAAGGAUAAUAGGGAACUCUGAGAACUCAAUAUAUUCGACGUCCCCCUGGUGGUGGACGCCAGAAGUUUUCAAACGUCAUUGGAAUCACACAAGACACAACUCGAUUUCCUUGUUUUCACUCAGGUUUCAGGGUUUCCUUAUUUUUAGAUGAUUCGUUGUUCGUUUCUCUCAAUAUGGCGCCAAAAGGUUUUCAACAAUCUGUUUCGCUUUUUCUUUCGUUAAUAUGGUUUUGGAUUUUGGUGGAUCAUCAAUAAUCGUGCAGGCUGAAAACGACGUAAGGAAAUUCUACUGUAGUGCCAGGCUGCAUAUUUUGUAGACAGAGAAGCUGGCAUGCAAAGAAAACCUGAAUGCUGAUGUAAAAGACCUUAAAUGGAUCUGAUUAACACCAAAGAAUUCCAGAGGAAGAAUAUUGAACUUGAGUACCAUUAUUGAAAUUGUCAAUGGUUCAUCAUCUCCGAUUUUUAGCAUAAAUGAUGUGGCAGUCGUUGUUAGUUAUGGAGUAACUAUAUUUGGACGUCAAAGCGGCUGAUGUUAGCGCCCAUUUUUGGGCAAUUUUGGAAGAAAAGCAGUUCCAACUAAGCCAUUAGAUGGUAUCAUCACUAUCAUGAAUAGACAAACACAGAAUAAGUGUUAGCAAUACAAUUGCUGUUGGCGAAAACGGAUCUGGUUUGAUGAGAUGUCAUUCUCGAGGAUCACCUACAUGGCUUCUCGUCAAAAUUUUCUACUGGAACCAUUUGCCAAAGCGUGGAUUAGCUUGACAAUUGACUUCACAAAUCACAACGACCAAGAUUCUGGAAUCAAGAAUUAAAAGAGAACCGUCUGCGUACGUGCGUAGAGGACAUUAGAUGUGGAUUCAACCGUUGGCCAAUCGACUUUUGAUUGAUCGGGUUACUGGCCUUGGCUACGUGGAUCUUGGGUCACAUACCUGGAAUUCAGAGAGAAACAGCUGUGAUCUUUGGGAUAUGAAUAUCAGAGCACAACAAAACUCGCGGUAAUGAAGCCUGAUUAACGUAAGCUGCCAAAAUUCAGCAAAAAUGCAACAGGGUAAGACCAGACUUUGGAUGGAACAAAGAGCCGUUCGUCAGUGAUGUUGAUGGAAUAACCGGCAUCCUGAUGUCUUCGCUGCUGCUAUUUCUGCUAUUAUUGUUGCUAUCCUGUGUUUAAUGAGGUUUUUCCAGCACAUUGGUGCGGUGACAAAAUGUGUUUGAUCAUGUUGCAUUCGUUACGUAACUUCUGAACAAACAGCAGCAGCUUCCGUUACGCCUCCGGUAACCAAAUGGGUUAUUACACCACAUAAAUUCCAACGGCUGCGAGAUUUGCAUGUACUAUAGAACCGCAACAGGUAAUUUUCGAAAGCGAGUUGAACUCUUUUAUCCAAACACCCUAGCUAUCAGCGGAGACAUUCCCGAAAUGGUGCAAGCUCGUGGGAAAUUUUUAAACUCUUAUUGAGUAGGCCCGCAAUCGCACUAGAUUGUAAUUAAGUUGCGUUUGCUUGACUGACAGGUUCGCGAUCUGCAUCCAAAAGAGUUGCAGUGUGUGCAUGAUAACCGCUUUCUUAUUUUUUCCUAGCGUCUAAAUUAUUUCAAAAUGACGUUGCCAUAAAUCCCGAGAGCAGGUGAUUUACCAAAUGUGCUGCAAGCCCAAGAGAACGUUACUGGCCAAAUGUGCUUGCAAUCCUAAGAGAUGGCGUUAUCGGCCAAAUAUGCUAGAACUCCAAGAGAUGGCGGUGGUAAAAUAUGCAAGAAAGGCUAUAAAUGGCGCUAAGUACGGAACGGAAUGAAAGCAGCAAAGAUGGCGUUAACUACAAAUGUGCAAGAAAGCCCAGAGAUGGCACUAACUACCAUACGUGCAAGAAAGCAGAGAUGCACUGACGGCAAAUGCAUGGUGUCGACAAUCCCUGAAGUUUAACAGUCACUUAUUAAAUAUUUCUUGGAAUCGAAGUGUAAGUGACGUUUCCUCCAGCGCUCUUGAAUCAAAUCAUUAAGAAAAAUUUGUAGUAAAGGGCAAUAAUGUGCAGCAGUGAAGGAAGUAUGCACGUACGUUCUGCACUUCAAUUUGUUUGUUUGAAAUACUUGUACAUGGAAGGUGAUGCAAGGAAAAAGGCAAUAUCCAGUGUAUGAUCAAGCAAAUUGUUUUCUGUGUAACGAAAGUAUGCACAGAAAUGAGAAAGCCUAUACAUUGCUGCAACUGUUGUGAUAUUAAAUAAUGCAGACUAUCUCAGGUCGAUCAGGUAUAUGUGGAAUAAGAAUAAUAUCUCAAGUCAAGAUUGAAACCUGCAACUUUAGGAAAGAGGCUCUCAAUGUUCUUUAUGGCAGAUGCCCUAAAUUUAGAAACAAUGUUCAGCAAAAAAUAGCAGUAAUUUGUUUUGCGAAAAAGUUACAAGUAUGACACCAGAUUUGAGAUAACAACCAGCUAUAAGUUUUAGGCCAACAAAGAAGAAAGAUCGUUUUGUUUGUUCGUAGUCUUGUUUGUGCAGUAACCUUAUCCCUGAAGUCAAUAUAUGUGAUACGAAAACUAGAUUUUUUUUUGCUUUUAAUUAAUGGGUUCACUCGAUUCUACGCUUCUAUUUCAAUUCCUUUGUUUAUCUGUUUUUAUAAGAUAAAAAAUAGAUGUGAAAUAGUUUUAAUAUAAAGAUACUUAAGAUAGCCAUUUAUCGCCACACAGACACAAAAUUCAAACAACAGGAUAAUGGGGCAUUCCAGACUUUCCAGAAUCCAGAGCACUUAAUACAUUCGACUACUCUCCUGGUGGCGGACAUAAGAAGUUCAACAUGAAUCUUGAUUUUGUUUUAAAUUUUUACGUGGAACCUGUUAUCCACGUAAAUAUGAUGUCGAUUUUAAUGAUAGCUGUUAAAUUUUGAAUGAAAAUCUGGUGUUUUUAACCAGGUCUAGAAUUUAGUCAAAAAUGAAAAAGUGAGAAGGCUAUACCCUUCUCAUUUUUGCCAAAAUCGGCAAAAAACUAAAUCUCUUGGAAUCCGUUUAAAAUCACACGUAAUACUAAACAUAAAUUGCUUAUUUAGGAAAAUUGAUUUGUUUUCUCGUCAAUUUAUCUGCUUUAGAAAUAUUUUAAAUAAUUGUACUGUGUGACGCUAGCGCUACAUUGUGCUAGCGCGCCAGCUUUUUUACCCAUUUUUAACGUUUAUUUCAGGAGUUUCAAGUCCCACGAGACAACGAACUCAAUUUUUGAAUCUGUUAGUUAAAUUUUAAAUGCAAAUCCCGUAUUUUCAUAUUAAACUGAGGUUUAAAAAAGUACAAAAUUGGCAAAAAAGUGGGGCUUAUGUUGUCGGGCUUAUUUCGAAGCUUGAUAGGUGAUUGGGUUACAGAUAGAAAAACAAGAUGGCGUUAUUGUUCUUCCAUGAUGACUGACAAGGUGUAACGAGUAAAUUAGCUGUUAGCGAUGUUUCUUAACUUUCUUGUGCUUGAAAGGAUUUCUCACGUGAAAAUUAACAGGUUUCCCUCAUUAUCAGCUAUUCAGGCUGCUGAUCCAGAAAAUACUAAACUACCGAUGUCUUUUUUCUGUUAUGUCAUCUCUCAUUGAAGAUGAGCUCAGCCCUUUUCAGUCUCCCAUUUAACCAAAUGGCAUAUCUCAUUUCAUUGAAAUCAUGAUCUUUAAACUAAAUGCACAAGUCUUCACUUACUUUGCAUUGACAUCUGAUCAACCAUUAUCUAAAUUAUCCAGUCUACAGCAGUUUUCCAUCCUAGCCAAAAAUCAAACAGUAGUAUCUCAAUCAUCCAGCCAUCACUACUUCCGAACUUAAGUCAGCUAUCGUUUAUAGACUUCAACUUCUUUUCACGAACUUCGAAAUUUUGGUCGUUGGAUCCCGUCUUGACCAUAUCUUCACCUUUUUCCGUAGCUGACCAACACGCAUAGACUUUAAAUGCUGUCGCCUUCAUUGAGAUUGUCAAUUGUUCAUCAUCAUCAUCUCUGCCGAAAAAUCGCUGUUCAAUUCAAGUCAUCAAGUCAUGCCUCCUUACGGAUCUUCCACGUGACGCCCACUUCUACUGGUAGAUAACAUUAUGGAAGGUUUGUGAUCCCCGAAAAACUCAUGGUGGUGGCGUACGGAGCAACGUGGAACGUCCCUUUCUUCUGUGGUAUUGUUUGUUUUGUUUUGUGGUUGUGAGUUAACCCAUUGGCUGCCACCCAUUUUGCUCCCCUUUUUUUUGUAGCUUUAGGGACCGGCCGCGCUGUCCUACCCCAUGGGGUGGGGCAGUUGCAAUGGCCUUCGCCGAAAGGCGUGUAGGCAAUGCACCAGUAGGGACUUCUCUUUGUUCGAUGCAGUGGCGGAUUCCCGAGGGUGUGCAUUCCCUGUAAAGGUUUCCGUCACUGUGUCAGCCCGGACUCGUCUUCGGACAAGUCCCUUUUGUUCGUGGAUCCUUCAGACGCGAUGCGUAAUAAGUAGAAAAACAACCUAUGGGUUGUAUGGCGUGGCAGCCAACGGGUUAACUAAUUGUAUGCAUGUAUGUAUGUAUGUAUGUGUAUUUGUAUGUAUGUGUAUGUAAAUGUAAUUUGAAAUAGUGGUGGAAUUGUGGGUGGAGGUGGGUAAAUACAAAAUUAAUUCCAUUUA